rnacentral:rRNA from 1 species
UACGUAGGGGGCGAGCGUUGUCCGGAUUCAUUGGGCGUAAAGAGCUCGUAGGCGGUUCGGUAAAUCAGGUGUGAAAUCUCCACGCUCAACGUGGAGGGGCCACCUGAUACUGCCGUGACUCGAGUCCGGUAGGGGAGUAUGGAAUUCCCGGUGUAGCGGUGAAAUGCGCAGAUAUCGGGAGGAACACCAGUGGCGAAGGCGGUACUCUGGGCCGGAACUGACGCUGAGGAGCGAAAGCGUGGGUAGCAAACAGG